rnacentral:misc_RNA from 1 species
CUUUUCCCUUAGUGUUCUUGUGUCUUUAGUAAAUUUGAUUUUAUCAUUUGAUAUCUUCACUGUUCUCUGUGCAUUAUCGUUCUCGACUGCGCUCUAUAUUGGUAAAACGAUUAGAACACUCGAUAGUCCCGCUCUAUGCUUAUUUACGUCGCCGUGAAUAACCGACAACGGUUUCCAUGAACGAUCGGAAAAUACGCGGUCAUAGCCCUUCAUGGAAAGUAACGCGUACUCACAGCGACUCGUGGCCAAAAGUAUGUUCGAUAGAGGACAGUGUUCGUAUUGUUGGCGGAGAUGUGUUUGAUAUAUCGCAAAGUUCGAUUGCGAAUGCAUUUGGUACAUCGUCUGAGUUCAGUCUCGUUGUACGACCGAAAAUAGCACGUAUCUUUCUUUCUCAGUAAUAGAAGUGGGAAUAAUUGGUCUUUGACUUGUUUACAUUCGAAGAAACGGUGCCACGUAAAAAUUGGAUCGGAUUGAGGAUACGUACUUCUCAUCCACGGCCGAACAAGCAAAUAAAUAUGGACGAUAAAAAUGCCUUGAGUGGAAGUUUCAACCUUGGGAAAUAAGCAUCGACGAUGAUAUCUUACCUGUAAAAUAAAGUUGUAAAUAUUUCACCUGUGAAAUAAAAAUUGAAUUAAUAUAUUUAUGUAGGAUUAGGAGAGGAUUGUAUAGGAAAGUAUGACAAAUUAAUGAAAUUAAUUAAAACAAAAUAAUUUUCAACAACAUGUAUUUAUAGCUUGAUAUGAAAAAAUUAUAUUAUAAUUUUAAAUCAUAACUAUGAAAUCCAAAUUUUAUUUAUCCAUUCUAUAUUUAAUUCUAACUAAUAUUAAGAUUCAUGUAAACGUAUAAGCCGAUAGUGCAAAAUAUAUUUUUGUCGGUACACAUGAUGUCUCUGAUAUCUACCGUUGCCAAUUUAAAAAAUUUCAGUUUGAUUACCAGAUGAGAAUAACUACAUUAUGUGUUAAAACUACACUGUUCGGCCGUAGAUGUCGCUAGAGAACUUCUACCAAGUUACCGACCAAUAGUUAUAACUAUUUUUCAUAAAAAAUUAUUUGCUAUUCAUAAAGUAGGCUUUUUAAAAUAAAACCCACGAUAGUUAUCAUCAAUAUUAAUGUCAAUAAUCGAUUAUCACGUUUGAGAUUGUAUUUUGUUUAUAUUUAUAUAAUAUUUUGCAUCAAUCAUUAAAUUCCUUUUAUAAUUGAAAAAAUGAUAUAGUUUAUCUUAAUUUUUAUCUUCUUUUAUCAGUAUUUUUCGGAGAUCUUUCGGAUUCUUUUAAUUUGAAUUUCAGAUAAUCGAUAUCAUGUACAUUGACGCACUACCGCCAUCUGA